rnacentral:misc_RNA from 1 species
GAAAUGCGAUAAGUAAUGUGAAUUGCAGAAUUCCGUGAAUCAUCGAAUCUUUGAACGCACAUUGCGCUCCCUGGCAUUCCGGGGAGCAUGCCUGUCCGAGCGUCAUUUCUGCCCUCAAGCACGGCUUGUGUGUUGGGCGCUGGUCCCUCCGAAACGGGGGGACCUGCCCGAAAGGCAGCGGCGACGUUCCCGCCCAGGUCCUCGAGCGUAUGGGGCUUUGUCACUCGCUCGGGAUGGACCCGCGGAGCGUUGGUCACCUCACGAAUUUAUUCCACGGUUGACCUCGGAUCAGGUAGGAGUUACCCGCUGAACUUAA